rnacentral:rRNA from 1 species
CCUACGGGUGGCAGCAGUGGGGGAUAUUGCACAAUGGGGGAAACCCUGAUGCAGCGACGCCGCGUGGGUGAAGAAGCGCCUCGGCGCGUAAAGCCCUGUCAGCAGGGAAGAAAAUGACGGUACCUGAAGAAGAAGCCCCGGCGAACGACGUGCCAGCAGCCGCGGUAAUACGGAGGGGGCAAGCGUUAUCCGGAUUUACUGGGUGUAAGGGGGGCGCAGACGGCGAUGCAAGCCAGGCGUGAAAGCCCGGGGCCCCACCCCGGGACUGCUCUUGGAACUGCGUGGCUAGAGUGCAGGAGGGGCAGGCGGAAUUCCUGGGGUAGCGGUGAAAUGCGUAGAUAUCAGGAGGAACACCGGUGGCGAGGGCGGCCUGCUGGACUGCAACUGACGUUGAGGCCCGAAAGCGUGGGGAGCAAACAGGAUUAGAUACCCCUGUAGUC